GACGAACGCUGGCGGCGUGCCUAAUACAUGCAAGUAGAACGCUGAAGAGAGGAGCUUACUCUUCUUGGAUGAGUUGCGCACGGGUGAGUAACGCGUAGGUAACCUGCCUUGUAGCGGGGGAUAACUAUUGGAAACGAUAGCUAAUACCGCAUAACAAUGGAUGACACAUGUCAUUUAUUUGAAAGGGGCAAUUGCUCCACUACAAGAUGGACCUGCGUUGUAUUAGCUAGUAGGUGAGGUAAUGGCUCACCUAGGCGACGAUACAUAGCCGACCUGAGAGGGUGAUCGGCCACACUGGGACUGAGACACGGCCCAGACUCCUACGGGAGGCAGCAGUAGGGAAUCUUCGGCAAUGGGGGCAACCCUGACCGAGCAACGCCGCGUGAGUGAAGAAGGUUUUCGGAUCGUAAAGCUCUGUUGUAAGUCAAGAACGGGUGUGAGAGUGGAAAGUUCACACUGUGACGGUAGCUUACCAGAAAGGGACGGCUAACUACGUG
rnacentral:rRNA from 1 species